ACGAUCCUUUCCUUGGGGCUGCAUUACUGUCCGAUGAGCGUGUAGUGAGGACAGUGCUGCUGACGCCUAAACAACACACGUGGCUCCCUGGCUCUCUGCUUUCCCGGGGUGCAAUAUUUGGAAAA